rnacentral:pre_miRNA from 1 species
AGUUGGAUAGCUGGGUCAAAUGGUAGUUCCAGUCCAAGUUUUCUAAGCAAUUUCCAUACUGCUUUCCAGAGUGGAUGCACCAAUUUGCAAUGCCACCAGCAAU